GACGAACGCUGGCGGCGUGCUUAACACAUGCAAGUCGAACGGUGAAGCGCCUUCCUUUUUGGUGGGUGUGGAUGAGUGGCGAACGGGUGAGUAACACGUGAGUAACCUGCCCCCUUCUUCUGGAUAACCGCAUGAAAGUGUGGCUAAUACGGGAUAUUCUGGGUCUGUCGCAUGAUGGGUCUGGGAAAGAUAUUGUUUCGGUGGGGGAUGGGCUCGCGGCCUAUCAGCUUGUUGGUGGGGUGAUGGCCUACCAAGGCGGUGACGGGUAGCCGGCCUGAGAGGGUGUACGGUCACACUGGGACGGAGACACGGCACAGACUCCUACGGGAGGCAGCAGUGGGGAAUAUUGCACAAUGGGCGCAAGCCUGAUGCAGCGACGCCGCGUGAGGGAUGGAGGCCUUCGGGUUGUGAACCUCUUUCGCCAGUGAAGCAGGCCUGCCUCGUUUGUGGGUGGGUUGACGGUAGCUGGAUAAGAAGCGCCGGCUAACUACGUG
rnacentral:rRNA from 1 species